rnacentral:rRNA from 1 species
GGAAUAUUGGUCAAUGGGCGCUAGCCUGAACCAGCCAAGUAGCGUGAAGGAUGACUGCCCUAUGGGUUGUAAACUUCUUUUAUAUGGGAAUAAAGUGCAGUAUGUAUACUGCUUUGCAUGUACCUUAUGAAUAAGGAUCGGCUAACUCCGUGCCAGCAGCCGCGGUAAUACGGAGGAUCCGAGCGUUAUCCGGAUUUAUUGGGUUUAAAGGGAGCGUAGGCGGGUUGUUAAGUCAGUUGUGAAAGUUUGCGGCUCAACCGUAAAAUUGCAGUUGAUACUGGCAUCCUUGAGUACAGUAGAGGUAGGCGGAAUUCGUGGUGUAGCGGUGAAAUGCUUAGAUAUCACGAAGAACUCCGAUUGCGAAGGCGGUCUGCUGGACAGCAACUGACGCUGAGGCGCGAAAGCGUGGGGAGCAAACAG